AUUGUAACAAAUGAUAACUUCAGAGAGUUCAUGACUGAGUCGGUGUCCUGGAGAGAAAUUAUUACAAAAAGGCUGCUUCAGUACACGUUCGUGGGGGACAUAUUUAUGGUUCCUGAUGACCCUCUGGGAAGAAACGGACCUCGGCUAGAUGAAUUUCUUCGAAAGGAGGGCUUUCUUAGUGACCUACAGCUGCCACCAGAGCAUCGAGUUCCUGUCCUCUGAGCCGAGC